UACGUAGGGGGCAAGCGUUGUCCGGAAUCAUUGGGCGUAAAGCGCGUGUAGGCGGCCCGAUAAGUCCGCUGUGAAAGUCCAAGGCUCAACCCUGGAAUGCCGGUGGAUACUGUCGGGCUCGAGUCCGGAAGAGGCGAGUGGAAUUCCUGGUGUAGCGGUGAAAUGCGCAGAUAUCAGGAGGAACACCGAUGGCGAAGGCAGCUCGCUGGGACGGUACUGACGCUGAGACGCGAAAGCGUGGGGAGCAAACAGG
rnacentral:rRNA from 1 species